rnacentral:rRNA from 1 species
CAAUAGCGUAUAUUAAAGUUGUUGCGGUUAAAAAGCUCGUAGUUGGAUUUCUGCUGAGGACGAUCGGUCCGCCCACUGGGUGAGUAUCUGGCUCGGCCUUGGCAUCUUCUUGGAGAACGUUGCUGCACUUGACUGUGUGGUGCGGUAUCCAGGACUUUUACUUUGAGGAAAUUAGAGUGUUUCAAGCAGGCGCACGCCUUGAAUACAUUAGCAUGGAAUAAUAAGAUAGGACCUUAGUUCUAUUUUGUUGGUUUCUAGAGCUGAGGUAAUGAUUAAUAGGGAUAGUUGGGGGCAUUCGUAUUUAACUGUCAGAGGUGAAAUCCUUGGAUUUGUUAAAGACGGACUACUGCGAAAGCGUUUGCCAAGGAUGUUUUCAUUGA